GCCCGGGUAGCUCAAUCGGUAGAGCGUGUGGCUCUUAUGAAUAUACAUCAUCUGGACACCUCAAGGUCGUGGGUUCGAGCCCCACCUCGGGCU